rnacentral:ncRNA from 1 species
GAUGCCACUCCUUUCCGUAAUCGCGGCUG